UAGGGAAUAUUGGGCAAUGGGCGAGAGCCUGACCCAGCCAUGCCGCGUGCAGGAAGAAGGCUUUCUGAGUCGUAAACUGCUUUUGACAGGGAAGAAUAAGCGCUACGUGUAGCGUGAUGACGGUACCUGCAGAAUAAGCACCGGCUAACUCCGUGCCAGCAGCCGCGGUAAUACGGAGGGUGCGAGCGUUGUCCGGAUUUAUUGGGUUUAAAGGGUGCGUAGGCGGCCUGUUAAGUCCGGGGUGAAAGCCCGUUGCUCAACAACGGAACUGCCCUGGAUACUGCCAGGCUUGAGUACAGACGAGGUUGGCGGAAUGGACUGAGUAGCGGUGAAAUGCAUAGAUACAGUCCAGAACCCCGAUUGCGAAGGCAGCUGACUAGGCUGUUACUGACGCUGAGGCACGACAGCGUGGGGAGCGAACAG
rnacentral:rRNA from 1 species